rnacentral:rRNA from 1 species
CCUACGGGAGGCAGCAGUAGGGAAUCUUCCGCAAUGGACGAAAGUCUGACGGAGCAACGCCGCGUGAGCGAUGAAGGCCUUCGGGUCGUAAAACUCUGUUGUCAGGGAAGAACAAGUAUCGGAGUAACUGCUGGUACCUUGACGGUACCUGACCAGAAAGCCACGGCUAACUACGUGCCAGCAGCCGCGGUAAU